rnacentral:misc_RNA from 1 species
AAAAACAAUACUGCGGAAGGCAAACCUGGUGUAAUUCAACAUUUUCAGAAAAUUCAUUUGCCUUCCAUUUUCCUGUACUUUGACUGCCCCUACAUGCAUGUCCUUAAUGAAUUCCUUCCUCUCAAGUACCCACACCCUCUAAAAGUCUUUUUUGUACGUAUGAAUCUCAGAUUAAUAGUAAUACUGAAAUGCAGUUGGGAUUGAAGGGGUAUCAUCUUAAUCAGUCUUGUUGUUCCGACCUAACUGUUCCAUUUUCACUUCUGAUUGGUAGAACAUGUAUUGUUCUAGUUUCGUGCUUUGUCAGAUCAAU